rnacentral:lncRNA from 1 species
CCAGCAAUCCUCUGGCAAAUAAUUUUUUAAGUAUUUGAAAAAUCUGCUCAAAUAUUUGAAUUUAUAUGAGGGUCACAUUAUUUAAUCAUAAAUUAUAAUACUUCUUGAAAGUUCAAAGUUCUUACUAUAGUAACUGUAUCUACUGUUUUUUUUUUAUUUCAAUUCAAUUUAAUUAACAUAUAGUGUAUCGUUAGUGUCAGAGGUAGAAUUUAGUGCUUCAUUAGUUGCAUAUAACCCCCAGGCUCAGGAUGCCUGGGUGGCUUAGCGAUUGAGCAUCUGCCUUUGGCCCAGGGCGUGAUCCCAGGAUCUGGAAUCAAGUCCCAUAUCAGGCUCCUUGCAGGGAGCCUGCUUCUCCAUUGGUCUGUGCCUCUGCCUCUCUCUGUGUGUCUCUCAUGAGUAAAUAAAUAAAAUAUUUUUAAAAAUACCACACACCCAGGCUACUACCAUCAAGUGCCCUCCUUAAUGCCUAUCACCCAGUUACAUGAUCACCCCACCCAUCUCUCCUCCAGCAACCCUUAGCAACUGUAUCUACUAUUAAAUCAUCAUAAUGUCUUAUGCCAGCAUUUUCUAAAGUAAAGCCUUAAGGAAUGUGAUUCCUACAAAAAAGUCUCAGAAGAAAAUUUCUAUGGUCAAAUUAGGGAAAUACUGAAUAACUCUCCUCUAUUGAAGAGUCACAAUGCAUAUUUACAUAUUAAAAUCUCCCAGAAGUCUUACCCAAAAUAAAUCAAUUAGUGUGUUAAUCCCAGGCUUUUUCAAUUAUUAAACCAUGGAAUCCUCUUUUUUAGUAAAACCUAUUAAAAUCCAUAGAAUGUUAGUCCUGAGGGACAUAUUUAGAGAAGUACUGCAUAAUGCAAUUAUAAAAUGUUUAUUUCAAAUAAAUUGGAUCUAAGUAUUUUUUACAGCUGUAUUGGAGUAAUGUUUAUAUAUGCUAUGAAUAUGAUCUAAAUGUGUCCUUCCAAAACUCAUAUGUUGAAAUCCUGACUCCCCAAAAUGGUACUUGGUGAUGGGGCCUUUGGGAGGUGCUUAAGUCAUAAGCAUGGAACCCUCAUGGAUGGAAUUAGUGCCUUGUAAAAAAGGCUCCCAAGAAAUCCCUAGCCUGUCCUACCAUGUGAAGGCACAGGUAGAAGGCACCAGCUAUGAACCGGGAAGAGGGCCUUCACCAGAAUAUGAUCAUACUACUGCCCUGAUCUUGGAUUUCCCAGCAUCCAGAACUAUGAGAAACAAAUUUUUGUUGUUUAUACACUACCCAGUCUGUAGUAUUUUGUUAUAGCAGUCUGAAUGGACUAAUACAAUAUACAAUAAAUCACUCAA